AGAGUUGUCAAAUACUUGUGCAGACUGCAGACUUUUCAAAUUCAAAGGUCACCUUGUGUUCCUUGACAGAUUAUUCAUAUUCAUUUCCCUGGAUAGGGCUGGGCUUUACAAUGGGAUUUUCAGCUGUGGAGCUAUAAAGAAUUACUACGUAGGGUUUCCAAUGUAGUUUUGUGAACAGAAUCCAGAAAUAAGAAGAGGAGGGACGAUGCAGAUGCAGCAUGAGCAUGACCAAUUACUUGCCACUGCUGAGAAAAUGGUACAUGCUUUGAGUACUACUUUUGUGUAUUUGGAGACAGUCCACUUGUUCUUUAAACCAGGAGUGGAAAUUUCAGUGCUUGUUAAAUUUUCUCCAGAACUUAUUUGAUGCUAC